GUUUAUCAUAGGAACUUUUUUGAUAUUCUUUCUAAGCAAUAAGGAUCCUUUGAACUAUUUCUGUCCUGGACCCCAUAAUUGUGACUCUAAGGAAAUCAGCAACCUGAGUUGCUUCAGGUUGCUGUUAAAUUUAUGUGUUUCUGAUUGUCGACUCUCCAUUGUGAAUAAUUAAACUUGUAAAUAAGCUCUUGAUUGUUGUGAAGUGCCACUUUAGGAAAAUAGUCAACUAGUUUUU
rnacentral:misc_RNA from 1 species